CAUGACACGCAUUCAAAAAACGUUUUGCUGACCGCUGUCGUCUCCAAGUAAUAUGAGAACUGGAAAUCACCGGGAACGAGGCAAACAUCAAUUCGUGAGACAUUUCGAGCACUUUUCCCCCUCAUGAGAGCUAAAAAGGCCAGUCGUUUCCUUAUCGCUUGUGCAGACAACGGGCACAACUGAGAGGAGAAGGUGCUCUGUGGAGGAAGUACCCAUUGAACAGAUGACCUCCUGCACGUUCCUCUAAGAGCCUGACCGAUAUUGGAUUUUUAGGCCCGAUGCCGAUAAUUGUUUGUUCUUUUUUGUUUUGUUUUUUUAUGCAAAAAGUUCUUGGAUAAACUACCAAUAAGUGUUUUUAGGGUUGCCACCCCAAACAAAAAUAGAAAACAAAAAGAAAAAUGAAAAUGAAAUCCACGCAUACGUGAAUCUGCAGGUGCCGAACCAUGCAUGUACCCUGCUGGAGUGUCAGCCGCCGAAACUUGCCCACCUUCCAACGUGACGGCGGUUCUCUCCCUCACGUUCGACGGGACAAGCUGAGAUUUGGUGUCCUAAUCUUUCUCUUCUCCACAAAAGUGGUGGCGCUCUCAAAUGGAAAGCGAUGCAACACUGCCAUCUACAGGGAUCUGUUCAUCAUUACAGUGGUUUACGAAACAGAGGUUCACAGACAAGCCGGGCGAGAUCGUCUUCCACGCCUCCCCGUUGAAAAAUGUGCAAAAAUGCUCUUAAAUGAGGUCGACGAUGGGGAAUAUUUUGUUCUCUGCUUCACAUUCCUCUGCAGAAGUAUUAAAAAAAAAAAGUAACAAGCCUCUUUAGACAAAGGAGUAGAAACUACAUGUAUCUGUUUUGCACACGCACACACACCAGCUGCUAUAUCAAGAGCUGAAAGUGGGGGUGGGGGUGGGGGGGGGGGGGGGGGUGUUAGGCACGAGUCACUUUCCACCCCCACUUAAACCUCCUUGGAAAAUGUUCACACACACAAAGAAUGAGGUAAAAGUCGGCGCAAUCUUUUGUGUGUCAGAGCGUAAAAAGGUGGAUGGAUGGGCGACCGAGCGUCCCCCUCCCCCACGUCAUCUGCUAACAAUCACUGGUGGCGUGUGUGUGUGUGCGCGUGCGCGUCCUGUUCAAGCAGUUUUUAAUUGGAUAAUUUAGGAAACAAAAGGCUCCAUUUAAAGCCGCCGCCGUCAUGCAGACAGAGUAGCAACAACUGUUAACAUUUAAGUCGUUUAAUGUUUUAUAAAACAAAUGCAUGAUAUGAUAAAUAAAAAUGAAAUAUCAUGCGAUUACGGUGAAUUAGUGA